rnacentral:rRNA from 1 species
UACGGAGGGAGCUAGCGUUAUUCGGAAUUACUGGGCGUAAAGCGCACGUAGGCGGCUUUGUAAGUUAGAGGUGAAAGCCCAGGGCUUAACCCUGGAAUUGCCUUUAAGACUGCAUCGCUAGAAUCGUGGAGAGGUGAGUGGAAUUCCGAGUGUAGAGGUGAAAUUCGUAGAUAUUCGGAAGAACACCAGUGGCGAAGGCGACUCACUGGACACGUAUUGACGCUGAGGUGCGAAAGCGUGGGGAGCAAACAGG